ACACACAAAAUCAAUCCCUUCGAUCUUCCUUUCCCCGAGAGGCUACCUCUCCCUGCUAUUCUCUUUCUUCUCAAUUGUUAGCCCCCAUUUUCUUUCCUCCUCCCCUUUUAUAUCAAGCUCCUCAAUGUUGUUUUCCCGCUCUACUCUUGUCACAUCAGCUUUGGGUGCCUUUAUGGUCCCCUCUGGCUUCUGGUGCACGCUUGCUGUUUUUGUUUUCAGCUGAAGUUGGCCUAUUGCUUCUGCUCCAGUCUGUUGAUCUCCAGGGGCCUCUCUUGCUGUCCCUUUCUUCUUGCUUUUAUUCCUUACAUAGACCCUUGCUCUAACAGAUUACAGCGAUGCUCUCAUCGGUGGAGGCUUCUCUUUCAAGAACCCAAAUGCUACUCCAAAUUGCAGUUGCGGUAAAUCCUUUUCAGCCGAGAUGUGAAAUCAUAUAGUUUAUACAAAGAAAAUUUAAGUAUUAAACAUAUCACAAGCAGAUUGUGUACAAAGGAAACUCCUAAGAAUUUAGUAUAAUUACAUGAUUCUAAUUCUUCUGCUCUGCAUUACAAAUCUCCAUUGGAUUCUGCUGAUUUGUGAACCCACUUUACAUUAUUGGGCAAGCUUAUUCUUGUGUGAUUUAUCGAAUUGGUAGAGGAUACUUUCUCUGCAUGUUCUCAAGAACAGGUUUAUUAAAUCUUUAUCAAGUCAAGAAAGGAUCUUACUUCUUCUCUCUUUGUGCGAAACGCUCUUGUUUCCUGCCGAGCUGCUGAUGUUUGCAUAUUUAUCAUCUUUGAAGCUUGCUUACCCUGGAAGCUUUUGCGCAGAGCUGCUAGUGUUUAUUUGUUCUUUAUCUUUGAAGCUUGUUUGUGUGGCAAAGUUUUGUGCAAUGAUGCCACUAUGCGCAAAUCCAUCCUCUUUGUUGAAACUUGGUGGCCUGUUAGCCUCCUGUAAGGGGUUACUUUUGAUUGUCCACGGAGAGGUGGAGUCUUGACUGUUGAAGCUUGGACUUUGGUGAUUUCUACGCCAUUGCCAACUGGGACCCUUUGUUUUUGGAGAGAUGGUGUCUCCAAAACCUGGUGUAUGGCUGCUUCCAUUCUGACCAUUGACGCUGUAAGUUGUAUGUGGUUCAUAAACUUUAUUCUUACCCUUCUUUGCUAUAGGAGAGCUGGUGCCUGGAUUUAAUCUUUUUCUACCACACAUCAUCAGACAACUCCGCCAGAAACUUGCUUUAGGAGUCUUAGGACUUUCAACUUCAUUUUUGAGUUGUUCAUCUGUAGAUUGUUGACCAGAGGCUAGCCAUCUAGAGUUGCUCUUGCCUUGUGUAGUAGCCUUGCUAUCAUCCGUGGAUGAUUUAUCAAAAGCCUGUCCUGAGCUGCUAUCAUCUUUAGCAGUACCUUUUGCGGUACUCUUAUUGUCAUCUGCAGAUUGUUGACCAGAGGCCAGCUGUCUAGAGCUGCUACUAUCUUUAGCAGUAUUUUUUGUGGCACUCUUAUUUUCAUCUGCAGAUUGUUGAUCAGAGGCCCGCUGUCUAGAGCUGCUCUUGCCAUGUGUGUUAGCCGUGCUAUCAUCUGUGGAUGAUUUACCAAAGGCCUGUCCUGAGCUGCUACUAUCUUUAGCAGUAUUUUUUGCGGCACUUUUAUUGUCAUCUGCAGAUUGUUGACAAGAGGCCAGCUGUUUAGAGCUGCCACUAUCUUUAGCAGUAUUUUUUGCAGCACUCUUAUUGUCAUCUGCAGAUUGUUGACCAGAGGCCGGCUGUAUAAAGCCGCUCUUGCCUUUUGUAGUAGUCGUGCUAUCAUCUGUGGAUGAUUUACCAAAGGCCUGUCCUGAGCUGCUAUCAUCUUUAGCAGUAUCUUUUGCGGUACUCUUAUUGUCAUCUGCAGAUUGUUGACUACAGACCAGCUGUCUAGAGCUGCUACUAUCUUUAGCAGUAUUUUUUGCGGCACUCUUAUUGUCAUCUGCAGAUUGUUGAUCAGAGGCUGGCUGUCUAGAGCUGCUCUUGCCGUGUGUGGUAGCCAUGCUAUCAUCUGUGGAUGAUUUACCAAAGGCCUGUCCUGAGCUGCUACUAUCUUUAGCAGUAUUUUUUGUGGCACUCUCAUUGUCAUCUGCAGAUUGUUGAUCAGAGGCCGGCUGUCUAGAGCUACUCUUGCAGUGUGUGGUAGCCGUGCUAUCAUCUAUGGAUGAUUUACCAAAGGCCUGUCCUGAGCUGCUACUAUCUUUAGCAUUACUUUUUGCACCACUGUUAUAGUCAUCUGCUGAUUGUUGACAAAAGGCCAGCUGUUUAGAGCUGCCACUAUCUUUAGGAGUAUUUUUUGCAGCACUCUUAUUGUCAUCUGCAGAUUGUUGACCAGAGGCCGGCUAUCUAGAGCCGCUCUUGCCUUUUGUAGUAGUUGUGCUAUCAUCUGUGGAUGAUUUACCAAAGGCCUGUCUUGAGCUGCUAUCAUUUUUAGCAGUACCUUUUGCGGUACUCUUAUUGUCAUCUGCAGAUUGUUGAUCAGAGGCCAGCUGUCUAGAGCUGCUACUAUCUUUAGCAGUACUUUUUGCGGCACUCUUAUUGUCAUCUACAGAUUGUUGAUCAGAGGCCGGCUGUCUAGAGCUGCUCUUGCCGUGUGUGGUAACUGUGCUAUCAUCUGUGGAUGAUUUACCAAAGGCCUGUCCUGAGAUGCUACUAUCUUUAGCAGUACCUUUUGCGGUACUCUUAUUGUCAUCUGCAGAUUGUUGACCAGAGGCCAGCUGUCUAGAGCUGCUACUAUCUUGAGCAGUAUUUUUUGCGGCACUCUUAUUGUCAUCUGCAGAUUGUUGAUCAGAGGCCGGAUGUCUAGAGCUGCUCUUGCCGUGUGUGGUAGCUGUGCUAUCAUCUGUGGAUGAUUUACCAAAGGCCUGUCCUGAGAUGCUACUAUCUUUAGCGGUACUUUUUGCGGCACUCUUAUUGUCAUCUGCAGAUUGUUGACAAGAGGCCAGCUGUUUAGAGCUGCCACUAUCUUUAGCAAUAUUUUUUGCGGCACUCUUAUUGUCAUCUGCAGAUUGUUGACAGGCCAGCUGUCUAGAGCUGCUCUUGCCUUGUGUAGUAGCCGUGCUAUUAUCUGUGGAUGAUUUACCAAGGGCCUGUCCUGAGCUGCUACUAUCUUUAGCAGUACUUUUUGCGGUACUCUUAUAGUCAUCUGCUGAUUGUUGACCAGAGGCUGGCUGCCUAGAGCUGCUCUUGCCUUGUGUAGCAGCUGUGCUGUCAUCUGUGGAUGAUUUACCAUAGGCCUGUCCUGAGCUGCUUUUAUCUUUAUCAGUAUUUUUUGCAGCAUUCUUAUUGUUUUCAUUUGCAGCUUGUCGACUAGAGGCCGGUUGUCUAGAGCUGCACUUACUUUUCAGAAUAGUCGUGUUUUCAUUUGCAGAUUGUUGACCACAUGCCUGUCCAGAAUUACUCUGAUUAUCAGUAGUAGUUGCUCUCCUGCCUACAUUUUCUCCACCGGAUUCAAGUGUUGGUUUGUUGGUUUCUGUAUUUUUUGCAGUACAGCAGCCGCAACAACACCAUUUACCAAGGCAGUCACAGAAACUUUUCCAGCAACCUGGUGGAUCAGGAAUAGUGGGUUGUUCAGGGCCAUUCUUUUUCCCAUGCUGUUGUUUCGGAGUCAUAAUUGCAGAGUUUGUAUGUAAAUAAUUGCGUUGGGUUGGUGAUUAACCACAAAUUCCGUGGUGUCUUACAAAAAAAAGUUCAAAAAAUCCUCCUGGAAAAUUGUCCGGAAAGAAUAUUUAUCUUGGAAUUACUUCCAAGACUGUGUUAGAACAUGCUGCACUGUGAAGUUGCCCCAAGAUUCUUCCAUUAAGAAUUGCUCAACUUCCAAGCAAAAAACGGAUAAUAGGGACAAGCAAGAAUUAAAGCAAUAAAUAAAAUAUGCAGAUGAAUUCUCAGAAUAA